CCUACGGGAGGCUGCAGUGGGGAAUAUUGGGCAAUGGGCGCAAGCCUGACCCAGCAACGCCGCGUGAAGGAAGACGGCUUUCGGGUUGUAAACUUCUUUUAAGCGGGAAGAGCAGAAGACGGUACCUCUUGACUAAUCCACGGCUAACUACGUGCCAGCAGCCGCGGUAAUACGUAGGUGGCAAGCGUUGUCCGGAUUUACUGGGUGUAAAGGGCGUGUAGCCGGGCUGACAAGUCAGAUGUGAAAUUCCGGGGCUCAACCCCGGACCUGCAUUUGAAACGGUUGGUCUUGAGUAUCGGAGAGGCAGGCGGAAGUCCUAGUGUAGCGGUGAAAUGCGUAGAUAUUAGGAGGAACACCAGUGGCGAAGGCGGCCUGCUGGACGACAACUGACGGUGAGGCGCGAAAGCGUGGGGAGCAAACAGGAUUAGAUACCCCAGUAGUC
rnacentral:rRNA from 1 species